rnacentral:rRNA from 1 species
CGCCAAAUAAACUACGAGUAAAAACUUAAAAUUUAAAAGACUUGACGGUACCUCACAACAAUCUAGAGGAGCCUGUCUAAUAACCGAUACCCCACGAUCAACCCGACCCCCCCUAGCCUAACAGUCUAUAUACCGCCGUCGCCAGCCUACCUUAUGAGAGAAACAAAGUAAGCUAAAUAGUCAAACACUAGCACGACAGGUCGAGGUGUAACUAAUGAGGGGGCCCAAGAUGGGCUACAUUUUCUAAUACAGAAAAUACGAAUAAACUAUGAAACAAGAAACUGAAGGCGGAUUUAGCAGUAUAAUAAGAACAAAAUACAUAAUAGAAACUAAAGCAAUGAGGUGCGUACACACCGCCCGUCAUCCCUGUCAACCAACCACUAAACCUCCAUAAACAAAAAUAAGACUUUAAAGCAGGGCAAGUCGUAACAAGGUAAGUGUACA